rnacentral:lncRNA from 1 species
CGCUAGAGUCCGCCGCAGCGGCUACAACAAAAAAAGAAAGGGACAGUACUACAUAGAUGAUAACAUCCCAGAUAUGGGGUCAGGGCGCGCCCGUCUAGCACUUGAUCUCCUUCAGCCCGUGCGCGAAGUAGAGGAAGGUUGGGUCGGUGGCUCCAUCCUUGUAGUAGGCGAACACCAGGCUUCCAUCAUCAUGCAUGCUCUCGCCAACAAAGCUGCAAAAAACCAGACAAACAUUUAGUACGAGCUAUUCACGGAAUUUAGUUGUGAAGCAAAAUGACAGAAAGCAGCAGUACAAAAAUCAGUAAUAGAACAAUAAUGCAGACAGCACAACCUAUCAUUCUAGCUCGAGCAACACGAAUUUAAACACAAUGGCGAAUAAGAACAUAGAAAGCAAACAUCAAAAAUGGAUGCCACACUGCAAAAGAAUAUAGGUACUUACAACUAAUAUAACAUAUUUUUAAUUAACCCAGAGCAGUACAAAAAUUAUUUUUGCACAAGAGUGUAUGAAAAUAUAUUAUAAUUCAAGCUCCAUGCAGAAUCAUAGGUGAGAAUUCAACGAUAGCACAAGCAACUUGAAUCCAAGUAAUAACAAAAGAAAAUUGCACAAGCAACGUGAAUCUAAGUAACAAAAGAAAACUAUGUGAUUAAAUCCACCGAGGUACAGUUUUCAUGAACAGCUACCAGAAUGGUACUUCAGAGAGAAUCACUAGACACUAGAUAUCAAAUAUAUAGCAUGAUUCGGGUAUAGAACUUACAACUGGAGGUCCUUGAGCUUUCCAAGAAGGUACUUGGUGGCACCCUCAAUGCCCUUCUUGAAUUCCGCUUGCUGCUCCGGCUCCAGCUUGGCAGUAAGGUUCUUGAUGUAGCGCUUCAUGAAGGUCACAAACUGCUUCUUGUCAAAGGCAGGUUGCUCCUGCAAAUGUGAUUACAUGGUUAGUACAAACUCAAAGAACAGAAAUAUAACCAGGGCAACAGAACUCCAGAUGAGUUAGCAACCUGAAGACGGAAGGUGUCAACAAUGUCAACAACCUUCACCGCCUGAUCAUCAACACCCUCAUCAUCGCCACCACCCUCGGCAGACGGGUUGGCACCAAUGUCAACAUCUACAGCUCCUUGGACGACCCACUGCGAGCACCCAUCCAGUAUCAUGAUGUAAGUAACAAAUCAAACAAACCAAAACACAGUAAACAUAAUGCAGAAAGCAAAACAAUCUGGGCAGCAUUACUAAUGCAGAUUCAUCCAGAUUGACAACCGUUUGUAAAAUUAGAGCAUCCAGAAUAAGCAGCAGCCCAUAAGGUUUCAACAAUACCAAGCUUACGGGGCGCUCUAAAGCAACCAACACAAGAUCCCUAGCUGCUAAGAGUAUCGGACUACAAGUUUAAAUUUGCCAACAUGUUGUGCCACAGCAAGCAACUAGGAUGCUGCAGAGUUGCCCAGAUCCUAGUACAAAACCAAAAG